CUCAUGGUUUCACGGUAUUGCAAUGAGAACAAUUUAAAACCCUUAGCGAGAAUCAAGUGGAGGACAAGUCUGGUGCCAGCACCCGCGGUAAUUCCAGCUCCACUAGCGUAUAUUAAAGUUGUUGCAGUUAAAAAGCUCGUAGUUGAACCUCUGUCUGGGGCUAGUUUUGGCUUUGGUCAGGCUAGUUCUAGGCAUCCGCCUACAAGACUUAGAGGGCAUUCAGUUGUUCACUAGGAGGAGUAGGCAUUUUACUUUGAAAAAAUUAGAGUGUUUAAGGCAGGCAAUCGCCCGCAUAUAUUAGCAUGGAAUAAUAGAAUAGGACACUUUUCCAUUUCGUUGGUUAUUGGAAUCGUGUAAUGAUUAAUAGGGACAGUUGUGGGCAUUUGUAUUUAAUUGUCAGAGGUGAAAUUCUUGGAUUUAUUAAAGACAAACUAACGCGAAAGCAUUUGCCAAGGAUGUUUUCAUUAAUCAAGAACGAAAGUUAGGGGAUCAAAGACGAUCAGAUACCGUCCUAGUCUUAACUAUAAACUAUUCCGACUCAAUGUUUGACUGGCUUAUAUAACCAGUUGAGCGUUGUAUGAGAAAUCAAAGUCUUUAGGCUCUGGGGGGAGUAUGGUUGCAAAGCUGAAACUUAAAGGAAUUGACGGAAGAGCACAACCAGGAGUGGAUUCUGCGGCUUAAUUUGACUCAACACGGGGAAACUUACCAGGUUAAAACAAUAGUGGGAUUGACAGUUUGAGAGCGCUUUCUUGAUUGGUUGGGUGGUGGUGCAUGGCCGUUCUUAGUUGGUGGAGUGAUUUGUCUGCUUAAUUGCGUUAACGAACGAGACCUUAACCUGCUUACUAGACUGGCGAUCAUCAAUCGUUAGCUCUUCUUAGAGGGACUUUGGUUGUUUUAACUCCAAGGAAGUUUGAGGCAAUAACAGGUCUGUGAUGCCCUUAGAUAUCCUGGGCCGCACGCGUCAUACAAUGACUAGUUCAGAAAGUUUUCUCCUGACCCGAAAGGGGAUGGGUAAUCUUGAUAAUACUAGUCGUGUUAGGGAUCGAUCUUUGCAAUUAUAGAUCUUGAACGAGGAAUUCCUAGUAAGUGCGGUUCAUCAGACCGUACUGAUUACGUCCCUGCUCUUUGUACACACCGCCCGUCGCUUCUACCGAGUGGGUGGUCCGGUGAGAUAAUUGAACUUCGCAGGUAACUGAGAGGAAAGAUUAUCAAACCUAUCCACCU
rnacentral:rRNA from 1 species